CAUUCCCUGGGGUGUUCGCCAGUUGGAUAGGUCCUCGAGCCGAUGAAUGAACACCCAGGUUGCCAAUACGGUGUAAUGUGAGCAGGUCCCUCAUGGGGAAAGCCUGAUUUGCACCGGCGGCGACCACCUUGAACCGAAGGGUUCAAGGGCUACUUCCGACAGCGGCAAACCUGGGGAAUGC
rnacentral:other from 1 species